AUCUGGCAAAGAGAUUUGCAGAGUGUCGGGUGACCGGCAAAGAGAUCUGCAAAGUGUCAGUUGAAGACGAUGGGAGGGGUCGCAGAGGUAGCAACGACUGGAGUAUAACAUGAAGGCGUGGGUGAUCCCCUGAACGGCUGACCUGGGAGGAGAGCUGCGGACACAUGCUUCAAAUGUUGGGACAUAUGCAUUACCUAUUA